ACCAACACCACCACCAGCAACGGCAACAACAACAACAACAACGACUACAGAAAAAAAGACGAGCACAACAACAGCUGCUUCAACUACAACUACAACAUCGACACCGGGGACAAAAACAGACCAUCAGAACCCAGCUCUUAAUUUGUUGCAAAGAAUAGCUCUCCCGGUGCUUCUCGUCCUCCUCAUCCUCAUCAUCAUCAUCAUCAUCACCAUCACUCUGAGACGCAGGUUUAAAAGACAAGGAACUGGAGAGGGAUGCAACAUUUAUGACGAGAUACAGGAGCCAACAAACGCUCGACCAAACCUUGAGGACAACGCGUAUUCCACCAUCUGUGAUAUUCCACUAGCGGAAACAAGGACCGGCACACAUCCACCCAACGAGUCCCCGUAUUCUGUGAUCGACUACACUUUUAUUGGUGCAAAUAAUAAAGGUCCGUCACAGCCGUCUGACAGCAGCACGUAUUCUUUACUGCAGAGACCCAAAACACCUUGAAACAACAACGAGCAGCAACAGCUGAGUUUGACCUUACUUCUGCAAGACAUGCAUAUUAUUUAAUUAUUGUUAAAGAUUAAGUUUGGUUUUUAACUUUAACUCUCUCCUGCAUUCUCUUAAGAUUGAAAACAACUUAUAUAUUUAAUGUAAAUAUUAGCUACAUCAUGUCUCUGUAAUAAGAUAUAUACAAAUCAUGUUUUAUCAGUGAAAACCUUCCUCGUUCUCUGAGUUUAAAUGUUUUUUGUAAGUUUUGUUUAAUAAAAAAACAC